rnacentral:rRNA from 1 species
CUGGGAAUUCCACUACCCUCUCCAGACCUCUAGUUAGCCAGUAUCAAGCGCAGUUCCGGGGUUGAGCCCCGGGAUUUCACGCCUGACUAUGCUAACCGCCUACGCGCGCUUUACGCCCAGUAAUUCCGAACAACGCUUGCCCCCUCCGUAUUACCGCGGCUGCUGGCACGGAGUUGGCCGGGGCUUCUUCUGCAGGUACCGUCAUCAUCUUCCCUGCUGAAAGAGUUUUACAACCCUAGGGCCUUCUUCACUCACGCGGCAUGGCUGGAUCAGGCUUGCGCCCAUUGUCCAAUAUUCCCCACUGCUGCCUCCCGUAGGAGUCUGGGCCGUGUCUCAGUCCCAGUGAGGCUGAUCGUCCUCUCAGACCAGCUACGGAUCGUUGCCUUGGUGAGCCUUUACCCCACCAACUAGCUAAUCCGACGCGGGCUUAUCCGAUAGCGAUAAAUCUUUCCCCCGGAGGGCGUAUACGGUAUUAGCUGCCGUUUCCAACAGUUAUUCCGUACUAUCGGGCAAAUUUCCACGCGUUACUCUCCCGUCUGCCACUAAGUAACCGGUGCAAGCACCGGGCCUUCGUUCGACUUGCAUGUGUUAGGCC